CAGGAUGAGUCUCAGCACUUCCAGCAUUGGGCUACCUACUAAUAUAUGGAUCCUUAAGUAGCAUUGGGCAUCUCCAGUUCCUAGUUCAAAGCCAUCUUUGAAGGCCUCACUCAGGCCACCUCUGCUGAGUGGCUCAGAAAAAAACAAACAAACAACAACAAUGAUUUCUCCCAUCUUUGGGUACUCAUUUCACCAUGUGCAUUUGUCCAAAGAAGGCGACAAAGUAUUUUACAAUAUUUGACGACAGAUUGUGACUUCCCACUUUACUGGCUUCCUUUGCCCACCCUGCAGCAGUAUCUUCUGUGUUCCUUUAACCUGCAAAGUAAUGACGGUGGCUGAUUGCAUUUGAUAAAGAUUUCACCUUUCUGGAGCAAUUCUUUACUAAGAAUUUUAAACUUCGUUAUUAUAAAAACUAGGGAAAACUACAGCUUGGGCAUUUAUUUUUUCCAGGCAAAAUUCAUUUGUCAUGAUGAAGGAUUCCUCAGUUCUAACGACUGAAUAUGUAUAAUAGAUAUACCUGGAGGCUGACUCAGGAUCAGUUCUCCUAAAAGAAGUUCAACUGAGUAGCAUGUAGGAAUCAUAUGCAAAGAAGCUUCUCGAUGCAGGACAGAGCACAGCCUCAGGAAGGUCACACAGGUCAAGCUGAUUACCUCCUCCAGCUCUGGCAAGCAGAGGGCUCAGCUGGGUUACCCAAGUUCACAAGGAGCUAUUGACAUUCAGCUUCAGCUCUCACUCAUUACAGAUCAGCAGGGGACUGUCUGGGCCUUAGGUUAACUCUUCCCUGCCCUCUUUCAAGAUUGCAGUGAGGCUAAAAAUGAAAAGAAGCUGCACGGUAACAUGGACACAGUUUAUUCCUGGUUAUUAUUCAAGAAAUGAACCUUUUCAACCAAUAUCUAAUAAACCUCUUCCAAGGGAAACAACAAUCACCUUUAUCAUUUUGCAAAGUUAAGGACAACAGAUGGCUUAUAAAUGAGGAUUAAAAUUUAAAUGUGAAGAGUUAAUAACAUCAAGAGUGAAUAUCCCAUUGGAUUGCAAAUAGAAUGGGAAAAAUCAAAUAGUGUAAUCAUACCGUUCUCAUUUGACUCUCCAUUAAUAACUUGCAGUAACAAAGUUCUCCUCAAGAAUAUUAACAGCAAUGUCCAAGCAGGAAUUUCUGUGAUCAGAUCUAUGCAAGAAACCAAGGGAAAGAAAUGAAACAGAAAAAGUAGUGUCUGGAAAACAUGGAUAAUUUAUUAUCAUAUUAUGGUGAGAUAAUUAACAAAUUAAAUAUUAGUAAGUCAAAGACAAAAAGAAAAAUGAGUUUUAUUAUCUCUCUGUAUAAGAAGAAAGACUAGCCUGCGUGGCUCAUGGCAGGGGAUACAAGAAGAAUAUGAAGUUAUUGAAGAGGCUGAUGGAAAACUAUCUUUUUGGGAAGGAACAGUGACAAAUUAGGCAACAUAAUCAAAUCAAUGUUGUGAAAAGUACUGUAGAAAUACCCACCGCAUAGGCGUACAUUUUGUAUAUCUGAAAAAAGAAAAGAAGAAAAUUGAAUUUUGUCUAAUCACUGCUUUUAACCUCUAAGGUUGAGUCUGUCGCUCCUAGGUCAUUAGAAAUUCAUUUGUUUUCUGCCAGUGUUCUUGACAUAAAAUCAUGGGAUUCCUAUUGGGUAUUUUCCUUCCCCUGGCAGGAAACUUUUUAUGAUUGCUCCUAGUCAGAAAUGAAAAGGUCCUGUUUGGAACUGUUAGAGAUUGACAUGUAGGUAUGAGGUUGUGACACUGAUCAUGACUCCAAUAUGUGACUUCCCCGUGGUAUGUGUUUGCAGUGUCAGCUUACAUUUUCUCUUCUAUACUUUUCAACUGUAGUCUGACCUGGGCUUUUCCCUAACAGAGGUGACCUCACAGGAGGCUGAUCCAUCUGCCUUCUGGUUUUCCAGAUCAUAAUUAUGCUGUAAUUGAAAUUGUGCUUCAUGGUAACUUGAAGUCAUCAUGUUCCAGACUGCCUGUAACACCUCAGUGUAGAUACAAGCACCAUUAUGCUGAUCUCGGAAAUCUGGCAUUGCCCAUUCAUCCUACAUCUUCAUUUCAGCGGACUCAU